rnacentral:rRNA from 1 species
GACGAACGCUGGCGGCGUGCUUAACACAUGCCAGUCGAACGGAAAGGCCCUGCUUUUGUGGGGUUCUCGAGUGGCGAACGGGUGAGUAACACGUGAGUAACCUGCCCUUGACUUUGGGAUAACUUCAGGAAGCUGGGGCUAAUACCGGAUAGGAGCUCCUGCUGCAUGGUGGGGGUUGGAAAGUUUCGGCGGUUGGGGAUGGACUCGCGGCUUAUCAGCUUGUUGGUGGGGUAGUGGCUUACCAAGGCUUUGACGGGUAGCCGGCCUGAGAGGGUGACCGGCCACAUUGGGACUGAGAUACGGCCCAGACACCUACGGGAGGGAGCAGUGGGGAAUAUUGCACAAUGGGCGGAAGCCUGGUGCAGCAACGCCGCGUGCGGGAUGACGGCCUUCGGGUUGUAAACCGCUUGCGCCUGUGACGAAGCGUGAGUGACGGUAAUGGGUAAAGAAGCACCGGCUAACUACGUG